rnacentral:siRNA from 1 species
UAGAUUCUGUGUUUCAUAACAGG